GUUCUGACGACAGAUGUACAUCAGGAGCCGUCCAGUGACAACCGAGACGGGGAGGACCCAGAGGAUGUGAAGAAAUCAUUGGGAGUUCCACCGGAGGAGAGCGACGAAGGCUUGUUGUGCGAGCGUCUGCUCAAGGUACCAUCUGAGAGGUUUCCUUACUCAUUGAAG